rnacentral:lncRNA from 1 species
AAGAGAAUCACAGAGGGUGUCAUAGUGCGUAGACUAGGCUUAUAGUAUCUCCCAGCCUUAAUGUUACAAGUAUGAUGGCUUGAUACCAUUGGGACCUAGAGUUAAAUUGAAUUACCUCUGGCAUCGACUAGGUUUUGCCUGUUUCUAUUGUGCAGGUUUUGUUGGGUACAGGUGGUAUGAUUUUUCCUGCUUGGCUCUUGUUAUAUGGGGAAUUUAGAAGGACAUGUCUUCAUAUGCAGAUGAAAAUUGUUGGAUCGCGUGGCAUCCACCUACAUGAGUCUCUCUCUCUCUCCCUCUAUCUCUCUCUAUCUCUCUGAGAAAGUCUUGUCUGAGUGCCCUUUUCAGUGUGUUUGAGUUGAUAAGAAGAGGUGCUUAAGAGGCUGUGCAGCCUUCUCUUCAUUUUUCCAGAAUAAAACAGGUUAUGUAGUCUUCAUUUUACUUCAUUUGGUAGUUAUUUUAGAGGGGCUUUGUUUAGUUAGAUGUUGAUGACUAAUUUUAGCUUAGUCAUAGCCUUUGCUAUAUACAUUCUGAACUGCAAAUGGUGAUGCAGGCCCUUUUUUGAUUUAUCAGGUGAUUGAAGAAGCUACCUAAUUUGAUUGUGUGAUCCCAUCUUCUGGACUUUAUGGUGCCCUGCUUCCUUGGAGUGUUUUUCGAUGGUCUGGUUCCUGGAAUUUCCAUUGGCCUUUAUUAUAGUAGGACUUUCCGAUUUCCUCUGAUCAAUAUAGAUCUCCACAACUCGACUUAACUUUUCUACAGGGUUCUAGUUGUACAUUACUACUGUCUGCUAUUCGAA